UGCCCCCAUAGUUCACCACACCUGGAACGGUGGGUGGAUGAAAGCUCCGGCGGCAUAGGAUGGGCCUGCGGCGUAUCAGGUUGUAGGGGGUGUAAUGUACCCUCUAGCCAUCUACGCGUACGGGUGUUGAGAGACAUCGCCCGGAGAUGGAUUCUGAGACACGAAUCCAGACCCUACGGGGUGCAGCAGGCGCGAAAACUUGGCAAUGCGAGCAAUCGUGACCAGGGAACUCCAAGUGCAUCGGGUAAGACCGAUGCUUUUCUUGACUCUUCAAAGGUCUUGGAAUAAGGGGUGGGUAAGGACGGUGCCAGCCGCCGCGGUAAUACCGGCGCCUCAAGUGGUAGUCGCUUUUAUUGGGCCUAAAACGUCCGUAGCCGGUUUGGUACAUUCGUGGGUAAAUCAAGACGCUCAACGUCUUGAAUUCUGCGAGCACGGCCAGACUUGGGACCGGGUGAGGUGUGGGGUACUCUCAGGGUAGGGGUAAAAUCCUGUCAUCCUGAGAGGACCACCUGUUGCGAAGGCGCCACACUAGAACGGAUCCGACGGUCAGGGACGAAGCCUAGGGGCACGAACCGGAUUAGAUACCCGGGUAGUCCUAGGUGUAAACGCUGUGGACUUGAUGUUGGGAGCGACCAGAUCGCCCUCAGUGUCGAAGCGAAGGUGAUAAGUCCACUGCCUGGGGAGUACGGUCGCAAGGCUGAAACUUAAAGGAAUUGGCGGGGGAGCACUGCAACCUGAGGAUUGUGCGGUUUAAUUGGAUUCAACGCCGGG
rnacentral:rRNA from 1 species